rnacentral:lncRNA from 1 species
GUCCAGUCAGGGCACCCAGAAGUCACGGCACAUCAAAGAAUUCGAAGCUUCCAGGAACACAAGAGGUGAUGUUUUAUACCCUGUAUACAUGACUGCUCACCUCAAGUAAACAGAGG